GGAGUUAGCCGGUGCUUCUUCUGUGAGUGAUGUCCUUCCUGCCGGUUAUUGACCCGCAGGCCUUCUUCCUCACUGAAAGUGCUUUACAACCCGAAGGCCUUCUUCACACACGCGGCAUGGCUGGAUCAGGGUUGCCCCCAUUGUCCAAUAUUCCCCACUGCUGCCUCCCGUAGGAGUCUGGGCCGUGUCUCAGUCCCAGUGUGGCUGAUCAUCCUCUCAGACCAGCUACGGAUCGUCGCCUUGGUGACGCCGUUACCUCACCAACCAGCUAAUCCGACAUAGGCUCAUCCGAUAGCGCGAGGCCCGAAGGUCCCCCGCUUUCCCCCGUAGGGCGUAUGCGGUAUUAGCCUGGGUUUCCCCAGGUUAUCCCCCACUACCGGGCAGAUUCCUAUGCAUUACUCACCCGUCCGCCGCUCGCCACCAGGGAGCAAGCUCCCCGUGCUGCCGCUCGACUUGCAUGUGUUAGGCCUGCCGCCAGCGUUCAAUCUGAGCCAGGAUCAAACUCUGA
rnacentral:rRNA from 1 species